UAAAAGGCGUUAGGGAUAGAAACGGCAUCCUUGGCGCUUGUCUUCGUCUUAAACCAUGAAUUUCUUAGCGAAAUUACACUCACUUAUAAAACUCUUCUAAGAAAAACCGCCAAGAUAUAGUGGAUAGCCCGGUCACUA
rnacentral:misc_RNA from 1 species